rnacentral:rRNA from 1 species
CUCCUACGGGACGCAGCAGUGAGGGAUAUUGGUCAAUGGGGGAAACCCUGAACCAGCAACGCCGCGUGAGGGAAGACGGUUUUCGGAUUGUAAACCUCUGUCCUCUGUGAAGAUAAUGACGGUAGCAGAGGAGGAAGCUCCGGCUAACUACGUGCCAGCAGCCGCGGUAAUACGUAGGGAGCGAGCGUUGUCCGGAUUUACUGGGUGUAAAGGGAGCGCAGACGGCAGUGCAAGUCUGGAGUGAAAGCCCGGGGCCCAACCCCGGAACUGCUCUGGAAACUGUGCGGCUAGAGUACUGGAGGGGC